GACGGCUGUAACUAUAACGGUCGUAAGGUAGCAAAUUUCCUUGUCGUCCAAAUAACGACCUGCAUGAAACAUAGAACGAUUGGAUAGCUGUCUUGCAUACAUGUCCUGCUAAAAUAUUAGGUGGUGUGAAGAUACGCUGUGAGAAUUAUUUUACUCAAAUCAAGGUUGUUAUAGGACAAAAAGACCCUGUGAAGCUUUAUAGGGAUAAAAUUCAGUACAGGUUCUAUAUCAAUAUAUCUUCAUUUCAUGGAAAAACCAACUUUAUUUCAUUCGAUAUGAACUUAGAAUUAUGCCUAUGUUUUCCAUAUAUGCAAGACACCAUCCUGUGAGAAUUGCGAAUUAAAGAACGAUUUGUGAAUAUCAUGUUAGAUGGGCUGUUUAAUUGGGGCGAUAACCUUCUUUAAUCAAACCAAAGGUGAACAAAGCUAUUGAUAUGGGCUACCGAAAAUCAAAGGACUAAUAAGUGCAAAGAUAGAUGUGUGGCUUAAUGGUUGCUAUAUUCCUUACCAGUAUUUAAAUGCUAUCUUAAUGACCUUUAAAUUAAUCUACCAACACCAAGCUACUCUAGGGAUAACAGGCUUAAUGUGUUCGAAAUAAGCUCACAUUAUAACAUCAUUGGCACCUCGAUGUCGGCUUAUCAUCACCAAAAUCUGUAGCUAGCUUAUUGGUGGGAGUGCUCAUCCCAUAACAAGGUACGUGAGCUGGGUUCAAUACG
rnacentral:rRNA from 1 species